rnacentral:rRNA from 1 species
UACAGAGGGUGCAAGCGUUGUUCGGAAUUAUUGGGCGUAAAGGGCGUGUAGGCGGUCUGCUAAGGCAGGUGUGAAAUCCCUCGGCUUAACCGAGGAACGACGCAUGAAACUGGCAAGCUAGAGUACCAAAGAGGGGGGUGGAAUUCCCGGUGUAGAGGUGAAAUUCGUAGAUAUGGGGAGGAACACCGGUGGCGAAGGCGGCCACCUGGACGGUAACUGACGCUGAGACGCGAAAGCGUGGGGAGCAAACAGG